AUUGAACGCUGGCGGCAGGCCUAACACAUGCAAGUCGAACGAGUGGCGGACGGGUGAGUAAUGUCUGGGACACUGCCUGAUGGAGGGGGAUAACUACUGGAAACGGUAGCUAAUCCCGCAUACCAUCGGAUGUGCCCAGAUGGGAUUGGCUAGUAGGUGGGGUAAAGGGUCACCUAGGCGACGAUCCCUAGCUGGUCUGAGAGGAUGACCAGCAAAACUGGAACUGAGAAACGGUCCAGACGCCUACGGGAGGAAGCAGUGGGGAAUAUUGCAAAAUGGGCGAAAGCCUGAUGCAGCCAUGCCGCGUGGAUGAAGAAGGCCUUCGGGUUGUAAAGUACUUUCAGCGGGGAGGCGUUACCCGGAGAAGAAGCACCGGCUAACUCCGUGCCAGCAGCCGCGGUAAUUC
rnacentral:rRNA from 1 species